ensembl:rRNA 5S_rRNA 5S ribosomal RNA
GUCUACAGCCAUACCAUCUUGAUGGCUCUUGAUCUCGUCUGAUCUCAGAAACUAAGCAGGGUCAGGCCUGGUUAGUACUUGGAUGGGGGGCAGAAGCAGCCAUAACCA